UGAGGAACUUAUGAUUUUAUGUAUUUGCCAAUUAACUUCAAAAACAAAUGCAAUGUGGGCUAUGCUUUUGUCAACAUGAUUGAUCCUCUUCA